rnacentral:rRNA from 1 species
GUGUCAGCCGCCGCGGUAAUACGGAGGGUGCAAGCAUUAAUCGGAAUUAUUGGGCGUAAAGGGCGCGUAGGCGGAUUUGUAAGUCAGAUGUGAAAUACCGAGGCUUAACUUCGGUGCUGCAUUUGAAACUACAAAUCUAGAGGGUAGACGGAGAAAACGGAAUUCCACGUGUAGCGGUGAAAUGCGUGGAUAUGUGGAAGAACACCGGUGGCGAAAGCGGUUUUCUAGUUUAUACCUGACGCUGAGGCGCGAGAGCAAGGGGAGCAAACAGGAUUAGAUACCCUGGUAGUCCUUGCCGUAAACGAUGUAUACUUGAUGUAAUUGGUCUCAACCCCGAUUGUGUCGUAGCUAACGCGAUAAGUAUACCGCCUGAGGAGUACGCUCGCAAGGGUGAA